rnacentral:rRNA from 1 species
GACGAACGCUGGCGGCGUGCCUAAUACAUGCAAGUCGAACGCAGUGGGGACGGGUGAGUAACACGUGGGUAACCUCCCAUCAGAGGGGAUAACACUUGGAAACAGGUGCUAAACCGAUACUGAUGGAUGGAUCCGCGGUGCAUUAGCUAGUUGGUGAGGUAACGGCUGACCAAGGCGACGAGGCAUAGCGGACUUGAGAGGGUGAUCGGCCACAGUGGGACUGAGACACGGCCCAGACUCCUACGGGAGGCAGCAGUGGGGAAUAUUGGGCAAUGGACGAAAGUCUGACCAAGCAACGCCGCGUGGGUGAAGAAGGUUUUCGGAUCGUAAAUCUCUGUUGUUAGAGAAGCGGUAUCUAACCAGAAAGCCACGGCUAACUACGUGCCAGCAGCCGCGGUAAUUC